rnacentral:antisense_RNA from 1 species
GGAGAAUCUGAGACUUCUGAAGAGUUUCUUGCUUCUUUCCUGUGGGGCAGUGACUCCACUUCCCAGCAGUAAUGGAAUAUCCUGAAUUAGCUACAUUAAUGUUAGAACCAUUUGGACCUCACCCAGGACUUCAACUACAUUGUGCUAAAGUUACAGAAUCCAAAUUUGGCAACUGCCUGCAUCUGAACAACAGAAGUUUCAACAUUCUGCCAACAGAGUAACUCCUGGACGACUGGCACAGAAGAAGGCACAAGGUUCUAGUAUGUUAGGUUUAUGUUCCCCUGCUUUCUACAAUCCUGUUCAAAGAGUUGCUGACUUAACCACAGAGAGAAUUCCAGAACAUGAGACACAGAAUAAACUUGAACAAUCAUAGUCCAUCCACUUCAUUUUCUCAUCGAAAACCAAAGGUCCAGUGAGGCUCUGGAACUCGACGCUGUAAAGGAGCGAAGGAGCAUCUAUACAGAACCUGGAUGCCUGUCUCCUUAUCCUACUUCAGCGGACUUGACUGCAAUCCGGAUUAUGCUGUUUUCUAAGCAUUUAAAAUAAAAUAAAAAGUGUAA